rnacentral:rRNA from 1 species
GGUGAGCUUGUCCGNAUUAUUGGGCGUAAAGCGCGCGCAGGCGGCCUUUUAAGUCUGAUGUGAAAGCCCCCGGCUCAACCGGGGAGGGUCAUUGGAAACUGGAAGGCUUGAGUGCAGAAGAGAAGAGCGGAAUUCCACGUGUAGCGGUGAAAUGCGUAGAGAUGUGGAGGAACACCAGUGGCGAAGGCGGCUCUUUGGUCUGUAACUGACGCUGAGGCGCGAAAGCGUGGGGAGCGAACAGGAUUAGAUACCCUGGUAGUCCACGCCGUAAACGAUGAGUGCUAAGUGUUGGGGGGUUUCCGCCCCUCAGUGCUGCAGCUAACGCAUUAAGCACUCCGCCUGGGGAGUACGGCCGCAAGGCUGAAACUCAAAGGAAUUGACGGGGGCCCGCACAAGCGGUGGAGCAUGUGGUUUAAUUCGAAGCAACGCGAAGAACCUUACCAGGUCUUGACAUCCCGCUGACCGGUCUGGAGACAGAUCUUCCCCUUCGGGGGCAGCGGUGACAGGUGGUGCAUGGUUGUCGUCAGCUCGUGUCGUGAGAUGUUGGGUUAAGUCCCGCAACGAGCGCAACCCUUGAUCUUAGUUGCCAGCAUUUAGUUGGGCACUCUAAGGUGACUGCCGGUGACAAACCGGAGGAAGGUGGGGAUGACGUCAAAUCAUCAUGCCCCUUAUGACCUGGGCUACACACGUGCUACAAUGGAUGGUACAAAGGGCUGCAAGACCGCGAGGUUUAGCCAAUCCCAUAAAACCAUUCUCAGUUCGGAUUGCAGGCUGCAACUCGCCUGCAUGAAGCUGGAAUCGCUAGUAAUCGCGGAUCANCAUGCCGCGGUGAAUACNUUNCCCGGGCCUUGUNCACACCGCCCGUCACACCACGANAGUUUGCAACACCCGAAGUCNGUGGGGUAACCCNUUACNGGAGCCANC